rnacentral:lncRNA from 1 species
CCAACUCAAGUCGAGCUCUUGCGAAAAGCAUACUAUUUAUUUAGUAAUUUCGCUAUUGUGCGGAUGGGGGACAUUACUAAAGCCUGAUAAGUGAUUUGUUCUUGAUUCUCUACUACUGUUUAUUUAUUGUUAGCAAAAGCUUGUUUUUCUUAACUGGAUGUUGUUUUACUUUAUAAAGUUGAUUUGGUUACGUAAGCGAGGAAUUCUGAUAAGUAAGUGGAUGGACGUAAUACGAGC